AAGGAUUUAAGUUAAAGAAACUGUUAACCUUCAAAGUUAAAAUUAGGUUACCCUAAGCCUUA
rnacentral:tRNA from 1 species